CCACAAAGCAAUGACAAAGGCCUUUAUUAAUUUUAAGCAGCACAUUCUUAAAAUCACAUAUAUACAAUUAUACAUUUGCGUAGCACUAUUGACAAUAAAUUUUUUAAGGAGCACGUCUUGUAAGUUUAUUCUAAAACCUUUUUCUAUCUUGUACCCCAUUGGAGUUUGUUUUCUAUUCUUCCCUAUUACCAUUUUUUAAAGUUAUGGAAAUUUGCACAGGGACCAUAUUGGAAUUUGGUGGAGUUGGAGUAAACAUACUUAAUUUUUGUUUGGCAUUUUUCAGAUAUUAUAAGGUACAGGGAACUACCUGUGGAUCCUCUCCCCCAGGUGAAAUUCUCCAAGUUGUCAUGGUGACACACUUGAUCUUAGUCAUAAGGCCGAGAAACGGCUGUCAUCAUGAUACAUGGCUGGGAUCAUAAAAAGAAUCAGAGUCUUGGAAGACAAUAGGGCAUUUCUAUGAUAAUCUUUGAGAUGAUUCCUGCAUUUUUCUUCAUCCAGCUUGGAGACAGAAUGGGGUAGGAAGAGGGCAUACAUUUCAGACUGCUUGGACAUCUUCUAAGCAGUAGAGGUAGAUUCGCAAGACUAAAGAUUGGAGGUUGAAGCUGAAACUGGGUUGAUUUGCUCUGCAUAAGGAUGUGGAAAGCAGCCAAAACUGGUGAAGGGAUAGAUGGAAAAACUAGGAGGAGUCUAAAGCCUGAAAAACAAGACAAUGAAAAGGAGAAGUGUAAAGGAUUCCCAUUCGUGCCUGAAGGCUGGACAGUGACUGUGGAAACAAAACGGUUUUGAGGAAGGUGGUUCGUUUGUUCUUAGUGGUUUGAUACACGAUUCUCCCCUAUUUCUCUUCUUCAUUAUACAGGAAAAUCUACAUGACUGACUAAUUAUUGGACAAACGAUAUGUAAAUCCUAAGAACAACACAAAAGCUGCUGGAAGCCAUCAGGAAGCCAAAAGCCAUGAAAGAAGCAAGAAGGAGAUCUUUGACAAUAUAGGAGAGAAGAAGUACAAUACCACCUCUUCUUACCACCUUUACUCCCUUAAUCGAUAAUUGAUUAAUGUGCCAAAAUGAUACUGUUAUUGACACCAUUAAUUGUGUUACAUGUAGCCUAUAAAAGCUCUCAAUUGCUCCCCUCACUGCCUACUUCACAAUAUAAGGUUUUGAAAUGGAAUCUAUUAUUUUUGCCACCAGAAUGGGAGAACCAUCCAUUCUCCACCUCUUAUAACACGUGUUCUGUGGGAGCUCCAUCUCCCAGCUCAGAUGUGAAGGGAAUCAAAGUAUGUUCUUCCCUCAAGGAUUAUAUUAGGGAUGGACCCAUCACUCAAUCAGGACCAAUGAAACAUUUUCUGAGAUAUUGAGAAAGUAGUUAUCACUUUUUCUAAGGGGAUUUGAACCGAACCCAAGACUGUGUAGCUUCUCUUAAAAUGGGAGUUUUGACUAAUAUUCUAAGACAAAAGAGAUUAGUGAAAUGUUAAUACUUAGUAGAACUCAAAUAUAGUUAGUAUUACAGAUCAUUAAAAAAACUUGUAUGUCUGGACUGCUAUAACAAAAUAUCAUAGACUUUGUGGCUUAUAAACAA
rnacentral:lncRNA from 1 species